UCGUACGAUUUCGUGUUAAAUUAAAAGGAAAAAAAAAAAAUAGAUAAAUAAAAAAAAAAUGAAUAUGAUCAUUAUUCACAGUGAUCAUAUUCAUUUAUAAUAUUAUAUGUUGACCUCGUAUGAUUUCAUGUCAAAUUAAAAGUAAAGAAAAAGAAGAAAGAGAGGUAGAAAGAAAAAAGAAAGAAGAAGAAGAAGAAGAAGAAAAAGAAAUAGAUAUUAAUUUGUACAUUAUCAAGGAUUAUUAAUUUCCUUAAUAGAAGAGACCGACGCUAAUCGUUCCUCCUUCGAGCAAUGCACCUCGUAACUUCUCAUGAGAGAAGAUGAGAGAAAAAGAA